rnacentral:rRNA from 1 species
UGGAGAGUUUGAUCCUGGCUCAGAUUGAACGCUGGCGGCAGGCCUAACACAUGCAAGUCGAGCGGAUGAAGGGAGCUUGCUCCUGGAUUCCGCGGCGGACGGGUGAAUAAUGCCUAGGAAUCUGCCUGGUAGUGGGGGAUAACGUCCGGCACCGGGCGCUAAUUCCGCAUACGUCCUGAGGGAGAAAGUGGGGGAUCUUCGGACCUCCGCUAUCAGAUGAGCCUAGGUCGGAUUACUAGUUGGUGGGGUAAGGGCCUACCAAGGCGACGAUCCGUAACUGGUCUGAGAGGAUGAUCAGUCACACUGGAACUGAGACACGGUCCAGACUCCUACGGGAGGCAGCAGUGGGGAAUAUUGGACAAUGGGCGAAAGCCUGAUCCAGCCAUGCCGCGUGUGUGAAGAAGGUCUUCGGAUUGUAAAGCACUUUAAGUUGGGAGGAAGGGCAGUAAGUUAAUACCUUGCUGUUUUGACGUUACCAACAGAAUAAGCACCGGCUAACUUCGUGCCAGCAGCCGCGGUAAUACGAAGGGUGCAAGCGUUAAUCGGAAUUACUGGGCGUAAAGCGCGCGUAGGUGGUUCAGCAGUUGGAUGUGAAAUCCCCGGGCUCAACCUGGGAACUGCAUCCAAAACUACUGAGCUAGAGUACGGUAGAGGGUGGUGGAAUUUCCUAGGUAGCGGUGAAAUGCGUAGAUAUAGGAAGGAACACCAGUGGCGAAGGCGACCACCUGGACUGAUACUGACACUGAGGUGCGAAAGCGUGGGGAGCAAACAGGAUUAGAUACCCUGGUAGUCCACGCCGUAAACGAUGUCGACUAGCCGUUGGGAUCCUUGAGAUCUUAGUGGCGCAGCUAACGCGAUAAGUCGACCGCCUGGGGAGUACGGCCGCAAGGUUAAAACUCAAAUGAAUUGACGGGGGCCCGCACAAGCGGUGGAGCAUGUGGUUUAAUUCGAAGCAACGCGAAGAACCUUACCUGGCCUUGACAUGCUGAGAACUUUCCAGAGAUGGAUUGGUGCCUUCGGGAACUCAACACAGGUGCUGCAUGGCUGUCGUCACUCGUGUCGUGAGAUGUUGGGUUAAUCCCGUAACGAGCGCAACCCUUGUCCUUAGUUACCAGCACCUCGGGUGGGCACUCUAAGGAGACUGCCGGUGACAAACCGGAGGAAGGGGGGGAUGACGUCAAGUCAUCAUGGCCCUUACGGCCAGGGCUACACACGUGCUACAAUGGUCGGUACAAAGGGUUGCCAAGCCGCGAGGUGGAGCUAAUCCCAUAAAACCGAUCGUAGUCCGGAUCGCAGUCUGCAACUCGACUGCGUGAAGUCGGAAUCGCUAGUAAUCGUGAAUCAGAAUGUCACGGUGAAUACGUUCCCGGGCCUUGUACACACCGCCCGUCACACCAUGGGAGUGGGUUGCUCCAGAAGUAGCUAGUCUAACCGCAAGGGGGACGGUUACCACGGAGUGAUUCAUGACUGGGGUGAAGUCGUAACAAGGUAGCCGUAGGGGAACCUGCGGCUGGAUCACCUCCUU